GGAGAGAUGACAGAGUGGACGAUUGUUCCGGUUUUGAAAACCGGUGCAGCCUUUAGCUGCCGAGGGUUCGAAUCCCUCUCUCUCCU
rfam:Klebsormidium nitens chloroplast DNA, scaffold: kfl01813, whole genome shotgun sequence.